CCUACGGGUGGCAGCAGUAGGGAAUCUUGCUCAAUGGGGGAAACCCUGAAGCAGCAACGCCGCGUGGAGGAUGAAGGUUUUCGGAUUGUAAACUCCUUUUGUUAGAGAAGAUAAUGACGGUAUCUAACGAAUAAGCACCGACUAACUCCGUGCCAGCAGCCGCGGUAAUACGGAGGGUGCAAGCGUUACUCGGAAUCACUGGGCGUAAAGAGCGCGUAGGCGGGAUAGCAAGUCAGAUGUGAAAUCCUAUGGCUUAACCAUAGCACUGCAUUUGAAACUGUUAUUCUAGAGUAUGGGAGAGGUAGGUGGAAUUCUUGGUGUAGGGGUAAAAUGCGUAGAGAUCAAGAGGAAUACUCAUUGCGAAGGCGACCUGCUAGAACAUAACUGACGCUGAUGCGCGAAAGCGUGGGGAGCAAACAGGAUUAGAUACCCCUGUAGUC
rnacentral:rRNA from 1 species